GAAGGCAUUUAUCGAAGCCAGGAAUUUGUGUAUUUACAUUACUGGUCAAACUAAUGCCAAGAGGAACAUCUGCUGACGGUCGCAGCCUGUAGAUUUUACAGUUGUUGCAUUACCAACAGUAGAGACAUAA